GAUUAAGAUGAAGGAAAAGCCAUCACAAGUUCACAAAAUCAAAAGUGAAAUAAAAGUGUUGAAUUAUCAAAUAUGUAGGACGCAUUGAUUUGUCAACUUUCCUCUUCGUGUGUGUCCUUUGAUAAGAAACAAGAUGGAUGGGAAAUAUAAGUGAUGUCUAAAUUAAUUCCACUGUUAUUGGCCCAAGAGUAACAAGGAAUUACUUGCAGGCACUGCUGCCAGAAUCCAGAGCCUGUGCCUAUGCGCAAAUCCUCUACCACUAGCCUAUAUUCCCAACCCUAGAAUUUUAUUCUAAGAGCAUUAAAAAAGUCACCAAUGAGUUUAAAGCAAAUGAUAGAUAAGAUUUCUUUAAUGUACUAAAAAGUUCACAUUUAUUAGGGGAUAUUAUUUUAAGGUGUGUAAGUUUUGUUUAUGCUGCAUUUUCUUA